GCAUGCUUUGUAGAGAUGAAAACCCUCCUCCAUCUGGGUCCCCUUCUUAAUUUUUGCAGCAGUGCCACAAACCACGCCAGCGCACUUAACUCUUCUUUGCGCUCCGAAUACCUCAUUCACAUUGGCAAAGUGCAUACUGCCAGUAUAUCCACAAUCAGUCUGAAUUUAGGCCAAUCAACUGAAUUAUGUAUCUCCAAAGUGUCAUAUGGACAUGUAACUGAGCAAAUGAC